UGUUUAGCUUUGUUGAUUGCAUUCCUGGAUUUUUGGAUUUGUGCUUGCCUUUUUGAUCCGGUCUCUGGCUGUACCUUUUGGAAUUUGUUUGUCUCCUGUGAUUGAUCUCCUGUGUACCAAACCCUUUUUGGAUCAUUAAAGACUACAAAUCUCCAUGACGACCGAGGCAGCAGAGAGCAGGUGGAGGGCCCUUGAGGAUGCAUUAGGACCUUCUUGCGACGAGGGGAUGCAUCUUUGCUGUAAGCUUAAACUGUGCAUCGGGCCUGUCUCAAGGGCCAGUGCAGAGUUCAUCAGCCUGGAAUCAUCAUCGAAAUAUGUGCUGCACUGAGAGCAAUCAGAAUGACCAGUCAUUCCUCCUGUACAUACUGGCCAAUAAAGGAUCCCAUCCUCAUGAGCAUCCAGCGUAGGUGAUGGAGGACAUAAUCCACAAUCAGGUCCUCCACCUCACCACCCAGAACCUUGACGUUGGACGGUCCCAACAGAAGCAUCCCAAGUCUGCAAAACAUCCGCCCUCGCAACUGGAGCUUCACACCAGGCCUGAGGAUUACAAACAAUCCCUUU